ACUCCUACGGGAGGCAGCAGUGGGGAAUAUUGGACAAUGGGGGCAACCCUGAUCCAGCAAUGCCGCGUGUGUGAAGAAGGCCUGCGGGUUGUAAAGCACUUUCAGUAGAGAAGAAAAGCCUAGGGUUAAUACCCCUGAGUCUUGACGUUACCUACAGAAGAAGCUCCGGCUAACUCCGUGCCAGCAGCCGCGGUAAUACGGAGGGAGCGAGCGUUAAUCGGAAUUACUGGGCGUAAAGCGCACGUAGGCGGCUUUGUAAGUCGGAUGUGAAAGCCCCGGGCUUAACCUGGGAAUGGCAUUCGAUACUGCAGAGCUAGAGUAUGGUAGAGGGAAGUGGAAUUUCCGGUGUAGCGGUGAAAUGCGUAGAUAUCGGAAGGAACACCGGUGGCGAAGGCGACUUCCUGGGCCAAUACUGACGCUGAGGUGCGAAAGCGUGGGUAGCAAACAGGAUUAGAUACCCUGGUAGGAUAGCGU
rnacentral:rRNA from 1 species